GCACGCAAAGAAGGCUGUUUUGUUACCCCAGACAUGCCGUCCCGAUCAUCACACCAGUUCUGAUGACACCUUAACUUCCUGAUAUUCACCCUUUGGCUGGCUGCGCAGUAACAGUUUCAUAGAGGGCUUUCCUGUGGCUGAACCGAUCUCGCAUGACCAUGUACAGUAUGCCCAGGAGCUGGCUGUCCUGGUGUUUACAGAGGAGGUCCUUGCACAGUGACUGGGAAGUCGGGAAAGAUGGGCCGCCAAAAACACAGUUGGACAUUGCCAAAAUGCUGUUCUUCAGGAGUUUCCACAGACAAGUGCCUCUGAUGUGCGAGAUGCAAGUGUAAUAAUGAGCAGUUCAGCCAAGAAAAGGAAUAAUAAAUAGUAUGUUUCUGUAUAGUGGGUCGUGGGGCAGUGGUGCAAUGAACAUUGGUUUUUCACUGUACAGUGUUCCACUGUGUUCUUAUGAAUGAGAAAUGUGGUCAGUUUGUCUCACUAGAAUAUCAUAAUAUAUUUCUAGGAAGUCUACUAUGAAACAAUUAUGUUACAUAAUUCUUAAGUGUGUGAAAAGUUGAAUUGUGAAAAUUGUUCAAGGGACAAUGUUUGUAAACAAAUUUAUAUUUACGGAUCGUACAGUUCUUUGUCAGUAUAUUUGCAAUGUUUUGCAACUAUUGAAAAUGUAAAUGU